GAUGAACGCUGACAGAAUGCUUAACACAUGCAAGUCUUUGGCGAAGCUGUGCUUGCACAGCCUAGCCAAGGCGGACGGGUGAGUAACGCGUAAGGAACUUGCCCUGCAGUCAGGGAUAACAGACGGAAACGACUGAUAAGACCUGGUAAAGUCAGGCGGACUCAUGUCCAGCCUGAUGAAAAGAGAUGCUGCAGGAGAGCCUUGCGUCCUAUUAGCUUGUUGGUGGGGUAACGGCCCACUAAGGCGAUGAUAGGUAGCCGGCCUGAGAGGGUGGACGGCCACAAGGGGACUGAGAUACGGCCCUUACUCCUACGGGAGGCAGCAGUGGGGAAUAUUGGACAAUGGGGGCAACCCUGAUCCAGCAAUUCUGUGUGCACGAUGAAGGUUUUCGGAUUGUAAAGUGCUUUCAGCAGGGAAGAAAAAAAUGACGGUACCUGCAGAAGAAGCGACGGCUAAAUACGUG
rnacentral:rRNA from 1 species